CUUUCAAUCCCCCUUUUCUUUUCAAUCGUAUCUUUCUAUUGCUCCUGUCGUUCUUAUCCAUCUUCCUCUCUAUCGUUCUUCAAAAAAGAAUUUACUCUAAAUUUUGUUCCAAAUUUUAUAAGAUCAUUUAGUUUCGUAUUUUUCUCUUUCAUCACCCACCGCCGCCCGCCGUCCAUCACGAUUAACGUCCACCACGACAUCGUUUGAGUCCCACAAAACCAGUCUAAGAGAGUUAUGGAGUUUUUUUGAUAGUGCUUAGAGCUGUGGAGGCUGCACAAAUAAUGCUGAAUGGUCGGCUAGGAGGUCAUCGAGUUUGACGAUGCAUUACGGAGAGCAAAUCUAAGGUGAAUAGGCGAACGGGGUGUAUUCAAGCCAAAUUUUGGCUUGGCAGAAACAUGAGGAAAUAAAAGCUAUUGAGAAAAGUUUGAAUGAGUACAUGUAUCAAAAUUAUGGCCCGAAGCAUCGCGAGGGCUUCGUUCUAGUUUCAAAUAAAUU